GCCACAUAUUAUGUAUUGGUCACCAACAAUCAAAUCAUUUAUGCCUAUCAUCAACACUUGUGACCAUCACCUCACCACUGCCACUAGUCGCAUCGCCGUCGAAACAUCGCCGCUAGGAACACCACCAUCUCCUGUAGCAAAACCAUCAUCCCAAAAUCGCAACCAAAUAUCACCAUCGUUAGCCUACCACUUCACAAACACAAGCCCCACCAAAAAAAAUAAUAAUAAUAAAAUAAAAUAAUCCCAAAUCUGCUGUCGAGCACUUACCACCACCACCAUCUUCGCUGCCACCUACUACAAACUAUCAUGUUCAUCUUCAAAACUGUCGCUGCCACCUCACUGCUACUACCAUCGACAAAACCAUCGCCACUGCCACCUCACCACCAACAACCAACAAAAAACAACAACCACACAACUCCAGUUAAGCAAAUUAGAUUGGAAUAGGAGGAAAUCACCAAAAAAAAUCUGGUAUCGAUUUCGCAUCUGGCCACAGGCAGUGCGCCAUCUUACCGACAACACUACUAUUACAACAAUAGCAGCGUCACUAUCAUUGUUCUCUGGUAAUUACAUCGCAUCUGGCUAUAGGCGGUGCUUCUGAGAUGGCACAUCGUUGACAACGUUGAUGUCACUACACUAUCGCGAGUUCGCAGAAAUGCUAGGCGCUGUUGCAACAUCUACUUACCGAAUGACUAUUGGGACGUGGUGUGUGAGAAAGAGUACUUACUGAACAAGAACUAGGAGUGUGGAGUGAGAGAGGGGUAUGGUGGCUUGGUGAAUAUAUUAGGGUUUGGGAUUUAGGUGUUAGAUGAGG
rnacentral:lncRNA from 1 species